GUGUGAAGGAGGGGAGAGGGCGGGACGCCACUUGUCGAGGCUGCUCUGCUCAGCCAGGCAGCUCCAGGCGCUGACAGACCCUCUCCAAGCACGCAAACACCAGUUGCGCCCUGUUCCCAGGAUUUAUACUGAUAUGAGACAGAAACUGAAUGAACAUGUAUUCCAGCUAGUAAUAAAAGAGCUCCAGGCUCCAAAUAUAAGUAUUUUGCCUGUAUAGUUUUUACUGCUGCCUUUGCUGGGAACCAAUGCAAGACUAUCGAAGCCCUUCUGUCUUUCAUACUUGAAAGAUGAACCAGGCUCUUCACCUCUGGGGUUGCUAUCAAGAAUGAACAUCUAGCAAAAUUGAGCCAUCAGCCUUUCUGCCUUCAAGCGGUAGUGCAUGUACUUUGCAUGCAAAAAGUCCUAAGUUCAAUCCCCAUCAUGUCCAGGACUCAAGCAUUAAGGAAAGAAGACUCUGCCUUCUUCAAAAGCAUUAACAGAAUUAUGGACGACAUGCCAGCCAGGCACAAACACCCAAAAAGGAUGCAUGAAAAUGAAUGUAGCCUGGCGCGAGUUCUGAAGGUAAGAUGGAGAGGAUCAGAGGGCCAACUUGGCACCCAGAUCUGAGGUUCCCCAUCAAUUCAAAGAGUUGAGGAUUUCAGUGGCAUUU